rnacentral:rRNA from 1 species
GGUAAUACAGAGGGUGCAAGCGUUAAUCGGAWUUAUUGGGCGUAAAGGGCUUGUAGGCGGUGAAUUAAGUUAGGUGUGAAAACCCUGGGCUCAACCUGGGGCUGGCMUCUAAUACUGGUUCGCUAGAGUAUAGGAGAGGAGAAGGGAAUUUCUGGUGUAGCGGUGAAAUGCRUAGAUAUCASAAGGAACAYCAGUGGCGAAGGCGCUUCUCUGGCCUAAUACUGACGCUGAGGMGCGAARGCGUGGGGAUCAAACAGGAUUAGAUACCCUGGUAGUCCACGCSGUAAACGAUGAAUACUAGCCGYUGGGUCGUAAGACUAAGUGGCGCAGCUAACGCGAUAAGUAUUCCGCCUGGGRAGUACGGCCGCAAGGUURAAACUCA